GUCCACAGGUGUGAGCCUCUGACAGCACAGGUCAUGUGAUGCUGGACCUGUCAGGUUCCCCUCCUAGACUGUAAACCACAUGGAUGCAGAAGCUGUGACUGUUUUGUUCAUCAUAGGAUUCUUUAGAGCUUAGCCCAGUGCCCGACAAAUACUGGGAACUCAGUAAAUUGACUGUCUAUAGAACCUGUGCCUAUAUACAUGCGUGCUCUGACCCCACACCGAAGAGUUCAGCAUCUGGGACAGAAACACUUUUCUUGUAAGCCUGCUUCCAGGUGGAGACUCACUGCUGCAGCAGACACAAACAUGUCCUGAGCCAACGUUUGGUAGGUGAACUGGGGACAAGAGGUUGUUCUCAAAUACUUCCUGGUAAUUAAGGUGCCUAGAAAUUGAUUUGGGUCCUUCAUUUCACAGUUCCUAGUCUAGUGUGUCACCAUCUGAGCUAGUGCUGACCGUCUGGGCUGGAGAGCCUUCUCCAGACCCCCGAUGUACUUGCCAGCUGCACACGUGUCAGGAAGAUUCAUCCCAUGGCCACUCCAGCCCACUGCAGUUGGUGGUGGUGAUUUUUGGACCUGCAAAUCCAAGAGAUACAUCUCUCUGGAAGAUAAGAGAGCUUCUUCCCCAAGAUCAAAAAAGGAGACUGGAGUGAGACUCAUGUAGGGAAUCCCCAGAAGGAAGGAUUGGCACACCUGGAACCCGAGGAGCUUGCUU
rnacentral:lncRNA from 1 species